rnacentral:rRNA from 1 species
UACGUAGGGCGCAAGCGUUAUCCGGAAUUAUUGGGCGUAAAGAGCUCGUAGGCGGUUUGUCGCGUCUGCCGUGAAAGUCCGGGGCUCAACUCCGGAUCUGCGGUGGGUACGGGCAGACUAGAGUGAUGUAGGGGAGACUGGAAUUCCCGGUGUAGCGGUGGAAUGCGUAGAGAUCGGGAAGAACAUCAGUGGCGAAGGCGGCCUGCUGGGCUGUUGCUGACGCUGAGGCGCGACAGCGUGGGGAGCAAACAGG